GUUUGUCAGAGUGAAAGGAUGCCGACCGAUGACCUACCAGCAUUUGACGGACUGUCAAAUGCUGGUAGGUCAUCGGUCGGCAUCCUUUCACUCUGUAUGUUUGA